CACGUAGGGUGCGAGCGUUGUCCGGAAUUAUUGGGCGUAAAGAGCUCGUAGGCGGUUUGUCGCGUCUGCCGUGAAAGUCCGGGGCUCAACUCCGGAUCUGCGGUGGGUACGGGCAGACUAGAGUGAUGUAGGGGAGACUGGAAUUCCUGGUGUAGCGGUGGAAUGCGCAGAUAUCAGGAGGAACACCAGUGGCGAAGGCGCCGCUCUGGGCCGACACUGACGCUGAGGAGCGAAAGCGUGGGUAGCAAACAGG
rnacentral:rRNA from 1 species